UGAACGCUGGCGGCGUGCCUAAUACAUGCAAGUCGAGCGAACAGAUGAGGAGCUUGCUCCUCUGACGUUAGCGGCGGACGGGUGAGUAACACGUGGAUAACCUACCUAUAAGACUGGGAUAACUUCGGGAGACCGGAGCUAAUACCGGAUAAUAUAUUGAACCGCAUGGUUCAAUAGUGAAAGACGGUUUUGCUGUCACUUAUAGAUGGAUCCGCGCCGCAUUAGCUAGUUGGUAAGGUAACGGCUUACCAAGGCAACGAUGCGUAGCCGACCUGAGAGGGUGAUCGGCCACACUGGAACUGAGACACGGUCCAGACUCCUACGGGAGGCAGCAGUAGGGAAUCUUCCGCAAAGGGCGAAAGCCUGACGGAGCAACGCCGCGUGGGUGAUGAAGGUCUUCGGAUCGUAAAACUCUGUUAUUAGGGAAGAACAAAUGUGUAAGUAACUAUGCACGUCUUGACGGUACCUAAUCAGAAAGCCACGGCUAACUACGUG
rnacentral:rRNA from 1 species